AGAUUGAUACAGCAGGAGUGGGAGCCGUUUAUUGUAGGACAGGAGGGGUAUUUAUACAUUCCACACAGCUUAUCUUAAUUAGCAUAAACUAGAUACAUCAGUCAACCAAUAAGGAAUCUCCACACUUAAUGGCUUGCUGGUGUUACUUCACAAACCACUCCCUCUGGCGAAAUGCCAGGUGCCAUCCAGACUUGUUUACAGACUCUAACACCCUCCCAGUAUUUUAUGGUGGUUGAUAACAAGUUGGGAAACCAUGUAGUUCAGCACGUACACCCCUCUUGGCUUAAACCAAUCAGUUCAAAUGAAUACCCCUUUUGUACUGACCAAUCACCCCUACCCAACUUGUUCCUGCCAGUGAAUGUGCUAAUCAUGUUUUAGAGUUGUUAUUUGAUUUUCCCGCCGUGUGUGAUGAUUUGCUAAGGGAUGCUAUGAUGUAUGUGAAGUCCCUGCCUUCUCCAAAGAAUGUAUAAAACUGCUGCAAACCCUGGGC
rnacentral:lncRNA from 1 species